rnacentral:rRNA from 2 species
AACAGGGAUUGCCUUAGUAACGGCGAGUGAAGCGGCAAUAGCUCAAAUUUGAAAGCUGGCCCCUUCGGGGUCCGCGUUGUAAUUUGUAGAGGAUGAUUCGGCGAGGGCUCCCGUCUAAGUCCCUUGGAACAGGGCGUCAUAGAGGGUGAGAAUCCCGUAUGUGAUGGGCUGCCUUAGCCAUGUGAAUCUCCUUCGACGAGUCGAGUUGUUUGGGAAUGCAGCUCUAAAUGGGAGGUAAAUUUCUUCUAAAGCUAAAUACCGGCCAGAGACCGAUAGCGCACAAGUAGAGUGAUCGAAAGAUGAAAAGCACUUUGGAAAGAGAGUUAAAAAGUACGUGAAAUUGUUGAAAGGGAAGCGCUUGCAGCCAGACUUGUCCGCAGUUGCUCAGCUUGUCUCCUGACAGGCGUACUCUUCUGCGGCCAGGCCAGCAUCAGUUCGGGCGGUCGGAUAAAGACCUAGGGAAUGUAGCUCCUCUCGGGGAGUGUUAUAGCCCUGGGUGCAAUGCGGCCAGCCUGGACUGAGGAUCUCGCUUCGGCUAGGAUGCUGGCGUAAUGGCUGUAAGCGGCCCGUCUUGAAACACGGACCAAGGAGUCUAACAUCUAUGCGAGUGUUUGGGUGUCAAACCCAUGCGCGUAAUGAAAGUGAACGGAGGUGGGAACCCUCACGGGUGCACCAUCGACCGAUCCUGAUGUCUUCGGAUGGAUUUGAGUAAGAGCAUAGCUGUUGGGACCCGAAAGAUGGUGAACUAUGCCUGAAUAGGGUGAAGCCAGAGGAAACUCUGGUGGAGGCUCGCAGCGGUUCUGACGUGCAAAUCGAUCGUCAAAUUUGGGUAUAGGGGCGAAAGACUAAUCGAACCAUCUAGUAGCU